rnacentral:rRNA from 1 species
UACGUAGGGCGCAAGCGUUGUCCGGAAUUAUUGGGCGUAAAGAGCUCGUAGGUGGUUCGGUAAGUCGGAUGUGAAAUCUCCAGGCUCAACCUGGAGGGGUCAUUCGAUACUGCCGUGACUAGAGUUCGGUAGGGGAGUGUGGAAUUCCUGGUGGAGCGGUGAAAUGCGCAGAUAUCAGGAGGAACACCCGUAGCGAAGGCGGCACUCUGGGCCGAUACUGACACUGAGGAGCGAAAGCGUGGGGAGCGAACAGG